rnacentral:ncRNA from 1 species
GUAAGCGCCAGCGCCGCACCCGUUGCGGCUAACGAGGAAUGGAGUGAUCGAAAUUUCGGCGGAUGCUCCAUCGGCAGAAAACAACUGUCGUAAAAGGUACUCAAAUAUGCGGGUAACCGCAAAACAAAGG